AUUGAACGCUGGCGGCAGGCCUAACACAUGCAAGUCGAGCGGAUGAGUGGAGCUUGCUCCAUGAUUCAGCGGCGGACGGGUGAGAAAUGCCUAGGAAUCUGCCUGGUAGUGGGGGACAACGUUUCGAAAGGAACGCUAAUACCGCAUACGUCCUACGGGAGAAAGCAGGGGACCUUCGGGCCUUGCGCUAUCAGAUGAGCCUAGGUCGGAUUAGCUAGUAGGUGAGGUAAUGGCUCACCUAGGCGGCGAUCCGUAACUGGUCUGAGAGGAUGAUCAGUCACACUGGAACUGAGACACGGUCCAGACUCCUACGGGAGGCAGCAGUGGGGAAUAUUGGACAAUGGGCGAAAGCCUGAUCCAGCCAUGCCGCGUGUGUGAAGAAGGUCUUCGGAUUGUAAAGCACUUUAAGUUGGGAGGAAGGGCAGUAAGUUAAUACCUUGCUGUUUUGACGUUACCAACAGAAUAAGCACCGGCUAACUUCGUGCCAGCAGCCGCCGUAACAC
rnacentral:rRNA from 1 species